rnacentral:rRNA from 1 species
CCUACGGGAGGCAGCAGUGGGGAAUAUUGGGCAAUGGGCGCAAGCCUGACCCAGCAACGCCGCGUGAAGGAAGAAGGCUUUCGGGUUGUAAACUUCUUUUAAGAGGGAAGAGCAGAAGAUGGUACCUCUUGAAUAAGCCACGGCUAACUACGUGCCAGCAGCCGCGGUAAUACGUAGGUGGCAAGCGUUGUCCGGAUUUACUGGGUGUAAAGGGCGUGCAGCCGGGAAGACAAGUUGGGUGUAAAAUCUACCGGCUCAACCGGUAGCCGCACUCAAAACUGCAGUUCUUGAGUGAAGUAGAGGCAGGCGGAAUUCCGAGUGUAGCGGUGAAAUGCGUAGAUAUUAGGAGGAACACCAGUGGCGAAGGCGGCCUGCUGGGCUUUUACUGACGCUGAGGCUCGAAAGUGUGGGGAGCAAACAGGAUUAGAUACCCGGGUAGUC